GCUGGCGUAGCUUAAUUAA
rnacentral:tRNA from 4 species